GGUAGGGUUGGAGAUCUUUGAAAAACGGUUCCUGUGAGCUAUAUUUUUGAAAAUACACAGCCCGCCUCUCCCUUCAGCCCUCCCCUCAAAGCCACGCCUUCAAAACACAUGAACGCGCAUGCAGUCUGUCAAGUGUUCGGAUUAUCCCGGGAACCCACGAGAGCUCACGAGGCGGGGGCGGGCUAGAAGCCACGACAAAUCGAUUAGCCAAGCUAACUUCCAGCCAUGGCACUGUCUCCGGCUACGACCUUCCACGACCACGAGAGCUCCAGCUCUGACUUUCCUGGCCCAUCACAAUCAUAACGACCUAACAGCCCAGUAGGACCGAUGGCCAGAGAUGGAGGAGGAGGAAGAUAGACGCAGCAGAGGUCGGGGGUAUUGAUUAGGGAGACUCCAACAGAAUUGACGCCCUGCUAACUGCCUUGAUUCAAUCAUUGAAUUUGAAGCAAUCCCAUCGGUUACUGCAGCGUGCCCUGACCCGUGACCCCAGUUUGAUGUUCGACCUGGCACAUGACAUCUG